AAUAUUGUGAUUUUUAGUAUGUGUCCCCUGUGCAUCUCUUAAAUACCACAAUUUUGAGUGGAAAAUUUUAGAAAUUAAAAUCACCAGACAUUUUUGAAAUUUGGAAUGUGGUUUAUAAACCUGCAAAAUGUGAGAGAAAAAAAUAGGUUUUAUAAUAAUUUGUUAAUUAUUUUUCAUUCAGCAACAACUUUUCUCGUUAAAAUUUUAUUUUUAUGUCAGAUUUGCGCAGAAAGGGUGAUUUUAAAAACCGAAGUCCACAAACAUUUAUUAAAUAAGUUGCAAACGAUACACAAACACCUAUUCAUAUAUGUUGAAAAAAAAUUACUGUUAUACAUAUUUCCUUGUCAUAAAACACUAUUUAUCACCCAUCUUACUGGAAAUUCUCUGAACUUAUGAACUGAAGGUUGUUCGAAAUAUUGUCUGAUUGGUAUUUCUCAACACGUUCCCAAAGUUGUAUACUUCCUUGAAAUUUGAAUUAUUUGCUAUCAUAAAAAAUAGGUGACCACCAAAAGAAAUAGGUUUGAAAAUCCAACCCCUAUGUCACACUUUUGCUUCAUUGUUUUGAAAACCACCAAUAUGUUUCCUCAUAUGUGUUUGUAUACUAUACCAUACUUAUUUCAGAUGAAGAUAUAAUUUUUUUCAAAGAAAUAAUGGGACAAUGAAUGCUAAAAUUGCCAAGAAGAAGACUGCCAUAUUUACACACCAUAUUAUACAGUUACAGUAUGAUAUGGUGAACAAAAAGCCCUAAAUGCAGCCAGUUCUGGAGCAUUGGCUAGACUAUGAACAGUAGACAUCGUAAAGAUGAUCACCUUAAGGGCCACAAUUGUUUAAAGCACUGGUCAACAAAAACUGAACUAUCUGAUGGAUCAUAAAUGUGCAGAAUGUACUACCAUAUUUCCAGAAUCAGAGAAAUAGAAAUAUCAAGUAUUAAAGAGAAAGAAAAGUAUGCAUCAUGUAUGAAGAACUGCCUAAGAAUAAUAUGCAAAAUACAUUGAAAUCUAACAAAUGCUAAUUGCGUAAUGCAUGUGGAAGUUAAGAAAGGUGUACUCUUCUGGAAAACAUGUGUCCAGUGCAACAUUUUUUUUUCAAUUUUGUGAGCAUAAUUCUAUAUAAAAAUUGUAACAUGGCUACAGGGAUAAUAUAAAAGGUUUAAUCUUAUUUCCAACCACAUUGGGGAAUCAGAGAAGAAAUAUCAAGAAUUAGGGGAAAAGAAAUAAUUGUCAUGAAUGAAGAAAUUUACAAAAUACUUUUUAGCCUCACAACUGUUAAUGAUAUUAUGAAUAUGG
rnacentral:lncRNA from 1 species